rnacentral:rRNA from 1 species
UAGGGAAUCUUCCACAAUGGACGCAAGUCUGAUGGAGCAACGCCGCGUGAGUGAAGAAGGUCUUCGGAUCGUAAAGCUCUGUUGUUAGAGAAGAACACGAGUGAGAGUAACUGUUCAUUCGAUGACGGUAUCUAACCAGCAAGUCACGGCUAACUACGCGCCAG